rnacentral:rRNA from 1 species
GACGAACGCUGGCGGCGUGGAUUAGGCAUGCAAGUCGAACGGUAUCAUCCUUUCGGGGGUGAGAGAGUGGCGAACUGGUGAGUAACACGUAGGUUAUCUACCCUCAAGACGGGGACAACCCAGGGAAACUUGGGCUAAUACCGGAUGUGAGCAACUUUUAGUUGUUUGAAAGGUGGCGUAAGCUGUCGCUUGGGGAUGAGCCUGCGUCCUAUUAGUUAGUUGGUGAGGUAACGGCUCACCUAGGCAAUGAUAGGUAGGCGGCCUUAACGGGUGGUCGCCCACACUGGGAUUGAGAUACGGCCCAGACUCCUACGGGAGGCAGCAGUCGAGAAUAGUCUACAAUGGUCGGAAGACUGAUAGUGCGACGCCGCGUGAACGAUGAAUCCCUUCGGGGUGUAAAGUUCUUUUAUAUGUGAGCAGUGCUUCUUAUAUUAACAGUAUGGGGAGAGAGAUAUUAGCAUAUGAAUAAGCAACGGCUAACUCCGUGCCACAGCCGCGGU